rnacentral:rRNA from 1 species
UACAGAGGGGGCAAGCGUUGUUCGGAAUUACUGGGCGUAAAGGGCGCGUAGGCGGCCUGCUAAGUCGAACGUGAAAUCCCCGGGCUCAACCCGGGAACUGCGUCCGAUACUGGCAGGCUUGAAUCCGGGAGAGGGAUGUGGAAUUCCAGGUGUAGCGGUGAAAUGCGUAGAUAUCUGGAGGAACACCGAUGGCGAAGGCAGCUCGCUGGGACGGUACUGACGCUGAGGCGCGAAAGCGUGGGGAGCAAACAGG